ACGAACGCUGGCGGCAUGCCUAACACCUGCAAGUCGAACGAACCCUUCGGGGUUAGUGGCGCACGGGUGCGUAACGCGUGGGAAUCUGCCCUUUGCUUCGGAAUAACUCAGGGAAACUUGUGCUAAUACCGGAUGAUGUCUUCGGACCAAAGAUUUAUCGGCAAGGGAUGAGCCCGCGUAGGAUUAGGUAGUUGGUGGGGUAAAGGCCUACCAAGCCGACGAUCCUUAGCUGGUCUGAGAGGAUGAUCAGCCACACUGGGACUGAGACACGGCCCAGACUCCUACGGGAGGCAGCAGUGGGGAAUAUUGGACAAUGGGCGCAAGCCUGAUCCAGCAAUGCCGCGUGAGUGAUGAAGGCCCUCGGGUCGUAAAGCUCUUUUACCAGGGAUGAUAAUGACAGUACCUGGAGAAUAAGCUCCGGCUAACUCCGUG
rnacentral:rRNA from 1 species